rnacentral:tRNA from 1 species
ACACACCGAGAAGGUCUACGGUUCGAGUCCGUAUAGCCCUA